rnacentral:rRNA from 1 species
GUGGGGAAUCUUGCGCAAUGGGCGAAAGCCUGACGCAGCCAUGCCGCGUGAAUGAUGAAGGUCUUAGGAUUGUAAAAUUCUUUCACCGGGGACGAUAAUGACGGUACCCGGAGAAGAAGCCCCGGCUAACUUCGUGCCAGCAGCCGCGGUAAUACGAAGGGGGCUAGCGUUGCUCGGAAUUACUGGGCGUAAAGGGCGCGUAGGCGGAUCGUUAAGUCAGAGGUGAAAUCCCAGAGCUCAACUCUGGAACUGCCCUUGAUACUGGCGAUCUUGAGUGUGAGAGAGGUAUGUGGAACUCCGAGUGUAGAGGUGAAAUUCGUAGAUAUUCGGAAGAACACCAGUGGCGAAGGCGACAUACUGGCUCAUUACUGACGCUGAGGCGCGAAAGCGUGGGGAGCAAACAGGAUUAGAAACCCGAGUAGUCC